rnacentral:rRNA from 1 species
AACCAGACUCCUACGGGAGGCAGCAGUGGGGAAUAUUGCACAAUGGGGGGAACCCUGAUGCAGCGACGCCGCGUGGGUGAAGGAGCACCUCGGUGCGUAAAGCCCUAUCGGCAGGGAAGAAACAGACGGUACCUGACUAAGAAGCCCCGGCUAACUACGUGCCAGCAGCCGCGGUAAUACGUAGGGGGCGAGCGUUAUCCGGAUUCACUGGGUGUAAAGGGAGCGUAGACGGCCAUGCAAGCCAGGGGUGAAAGCCCGGGGCCCAACCCCGGGACUGCCCUUGGAACUGCAUGGCUGGAGUGCGGGAGGGGCAGGCGGAAUUCCUGGUGUAGCGGUGAAAUGCGUAGAUAUCAGGAGGAACACCGGCGGCGAAGGCGGCUUGCUGGACUGUAACUGACGUUGAGGCUCGAAAGCGUGGGGAGCAAACAGGAUUAGAUACCCGUGUAGU